rnacentral:rRNA from 1 species
CCUACGGGAGGCAGCAGUGGGGAAUUUUGGACAAUGGACGCAAGUCUGAUCCAGCCAUUCCGCGUGCAGGACGAAGGCCUUCGGGUUGUAAACUGCUUUUGUACGGAACGAAAAAGCUCUUAUUAAUACUAGGAGUCCAUGACGGUACCGUAAGAAUAAGCACCGGCUAACUACGUGCCAGCAGCCGCGGUAAUACGUAGGGUGCAAGCGUUAAUCGGAAUUACUGGGCGUAAAGCGUGCGCAGGCGGUUAUAUAAGACAGAUGUGAAAUCCCCGAGCUUAACUUGGGAACUGCAUUUGUGACUGUAUAGCUAGAGUACGGCAGAGGGGGAUGGAAUUCCGCGUGUAGCAGUGAAAUGCGUAGAUAUGCGGAGGAACACCGAUGGCGAAGGCAAUCCCCUGGGCCUGUACUGACGCUCAUGCACGAAAGCGUGGGGAGCAAACAGGAUUAGAUACCCUGGUAGUCCACGCCCUAAACGAUGUCAACUGGUUGUUGGGUCUUCACUGACUCAGUAACGAAGCUAACGCGUGAAGUUGACCGCCUGGGGAGUACGGCCGCAAGGUUGAAACUCAAAUGAAAUUGACCGG